rnacentral:rRNA from 1 species
GCAGCCGCGGUAAUACGUAUGGGGCAAGCGUUAUCCGGAUUUACUGGGUGUAAAGGGAGCGUAGGCGGCAUGGCAAGUCAGAAGUGAAAGCCUGGGGCUCAACCCUGGAAUUGCUUUUGAAACUGUCAAGCUAGAGUGUCGGAGGGGUAAGUGGAAUUCCUAGUGUAGCGGUGAAAUGCGUAGAUAUUAGGAGGAACACCAGUGGCGAAGGCGGCUUACUGGACGACUACUGACGCUGAGGCUCGAAAGCGUGGGGAGCAAACAGGAUUAGAUACCCC